rnacentral:rRNA from 1 species
CCCAGCAGCCAUGUCGCUCUGCCACUCAGCGGGUGUGAGCCUGGGCAGUACCUGGAUGGGAGACCUCCUGGGAAAAACUGAGGUUGCUGCUGGAA